ACCAUGAAGAAAGGCAUUAUUGACAUCAAGCUGAAAAAGAGGCCAAUGAUUCUUGACAGCCACAGCAAUAAGGCAUUUCACAAAAGUCAUCUUAAUUACAGGAGAAAAAGUGUCAGUAAAAUCAAUUCCCUCAACUUGUGUAUCACCCCUAAUAACAAGCCUUGCUUUAUAUCUUUCAACUAGACCAUCAGACUUGUAUUUGAUUUUAUAGACCCACUUACAGCCAAUGGGUUUCUUACCAAGAGGAAGAGAAACAAUAUCCCAAGUAUGGUUAGCCUCUAAAGCAUCAAACUCCUGUCUCAUAGCAUCCUGCCAUGCUGGACAGAUGCAGCUUGAGAGUAAUACAUAGGUUCAGAUUCCAAAAUGGAAGAAGAAGAACCAGAAAAGGCAGGCAGUUGACAGACAUAAUCCUUAAGAUAGAAAGGAGGAUUAUGCUGUCUAGUGGACUUUCUAGGUGGGGAAAGAGGAUGUGAAGGAGGUAACACAGAAGCAGGGAGAUCAGGAUUGAAAGAAGGAAGAGAAGAUGGACUAGUAGUAAAAAAAUUAGCUGCAGGAGGAGCAGAAGUAGAAGGAAGGACAGUAGAAUUAGGGGUAUCAUGUAUGGGAAAAACACUGUCAGUUAAAUCAUCAGGAAGAGGAAUAAAAGGAAAAGGUGAAGAAGAAGGUUGAGCAGAAAUAGGUGUAGUCUUAAAAGGAAAAUAUGUUUCAUGGAAGAUAACAUCCCUUGAGACAAAACAUUUUCUGGUGACCAAAUUAUACAGUUUAUAACCCUUCUUGGCAAAGGGGUAACCCAGAAAAACACAAGAAUGUGCUCUAGGUUUGAGCGGAGACAAAACAUUUUUUAGUGACCAAAUUAUACAGUUUAUAACCCUUCUUGGCAAAGGGAUAACCCAGAAAAACACAAGAAUGGGCUCUAGGUUUGAGCUUGUCCCUUUGAGAAAUAGGGACAACUGCAUAAGCUAGGCAUCCAAAUGCCCUCAAAUGGGAAUAUGAUGGAGCUUUGCCAUACAAUUUCAUGGGGAGACUUAUGGUGAAGGAUUCGGGAAGGUAUUCUGUUAAGAAGAUAGGUGACAGUUAGCAGACAAUCCCCCCAGAAGGACACAGGUAGGCCAGACUGAAAAAGUAGGGCUCUACAUGUCUUAAGAAGUGUUCUGUGUUUUCUUUCAUCAACCCCAUUCUGUUGAGGGGAAUGAGGGCAAGUGGUUUGAUGUACAAUCCCCAGCUCACUGAAAAAGGAAAUCCCUUCUGCACUGGAACCCAGUUCCAGGGCAUUAUGGUGAUGAAUAAUCCCCUGGCUACUAAAAAAGGAUAUUCCCUCAGUACUAGAUCCCAAUUCUAAGGCAUUGUCACUUCUAACAGUAUGGACCACAGUGUGAAACUGAGUUUUAACAAAGGAGAUGAAAGACUUAAGCAGGGAAAAAGCAGUGCUUUUGGAUCCCAUUAAGUGUGUCCAGGUAGCCCUAGAAAAAUCAUCAACUAUAGUAAGGAAGUACUUAUAACCAGAAGAAGUAGAAGUGUGGUAAGGCCCCCAAGUAUCCACAUGUAUUAAUUGAAAU
rnacentral:lncRNA from 1 species